UACGUAGGGGGCAAGCGUUGUCCGGAAUCAUUGGGCGUAAAGAGCGUGUAGGCGGUCCGAUAAGUCCGCUCUGAAAGCCCGGGGCUCAACCCCGGGAGGCGGGCGGAUACUGUCGGGCUAGAGUCCGGAAGAGGCAAGUGGAAUUCCUGGUGUAGCGGUGAAAUGCGCAGAUAUCAGGAGGAACACCGAUGGCGAAGGCAGCGUGCUGGGACGGUACUGACGCUGAGGCACGAAAGCGUGGGUAGCAAACAGG
rnacentral:rRNA from 1 species